ensembl:lncRNA
AUAUCCCCAGAAGCCUGGUAGGAGAGGAGUGAGCAGACAGAUUAGAUAAGAGGUCGGGAAGGGCAAGGCAAGUCCCUCUAAGCUGCCUCUGUUAUAGGAGGGGACAGUGGGACAAGGGGGAAGCAAGAGCAAUAUAAAUGGCAGGCGCUGUUUCACCACCGAAAAUAUCUUUCGGGACUUCAGAGGAUAGUCUGAGGGGACCCAUUUCACAGAUGUGGAAGCUGAGGUGCAGCGAAGUUAACCGUCUUGCUCAAAAGCAACCAGCUUUGGUGGGCAGGACGUGAAAGCGGCUACCUCCGUCACUGAAGUCCACACUAGUCCACUAAACGAGGCAUUUCUAUCUCUGAGAGAGAGAAUGGCACAAAAAUAAGUGAGAUAGGUGGGUCUCUGAGAUGUUUUAGAAUCCGCUGCAUUUGCCAGAGCCCUAAAUUAAAAAUUUGCCCAUUUCUGGGGACGCAGUUUUUAGCUCGCGUCAUGUCCCAGUUAAUUCAGGGCCGACGGAUCUGUGUGUUGAUUUGGCAAAGCUUAGUCUUUCCCCGAGCGGCACACACCCCCACCUUGUUCCGGCCACAUUCACCUGCUCUUUGCCGCUCCCUGUGCAGUGAGCGAGGUUAGGGGUGAAGAUGCUCUAAGGACACUAGGCAUUCCCAUCAUGUCCCUCCAACGUUGGACUGGAAUGAAGGGGAGGAGGGAAGAUGGAGUGGGCACCUCGUGCUCCUCGGAAGAGAUGCUCUAUGAGUUUAUACAGGGAAGCGAUUCUUCACCUCCUGAAAUGGCAUACAGUCGUUAGGCAAAAUGUUACUUACAUGCUCUGAUUUUCUGGGAGAGGUUUUUUCCUCAAAUUCUCGAAGGGAUCUGUAGGGCAAAAGCGGUUAAAAACCCACUGUCACAGGGUCUCUGAAUCAACUGUUAGGACAUUUAUCUCCGUUCAGUCUUCCUUUCAUUGAACACAUACUUGUUGACAUCCUACUAUGGCGAAUCUUGGUCAGGUGCAAGGACUGUGAUGGGGAGCCAGACUGAUGCUCCCUCUGUCAUGGAGCUAGUCUUUGAGUGAGGGACACAGCAUUAAACGACUCAUGUGGUGGCUCAUUCAUACGAUGGUGUUAAGGGCUUCAAAAAACAAGGAUGGAGUGCAGAGAAGAUCUGUUUCCUGGUCUAGUCUGGUGAGGAAUGGAUUCCUUGAGGCGGUGAUAUUCAAGCAGAGCUCUGAAGCGUGAGUAGUUAGGAGUAAACUGGAGUAAAGAGUGUUGUAAAUUCUGGCUACUCAAAGUGUGGUCUUCAGACCAGCAGCAUCAGCAUCACCUGGGAGUUUGUUAGAAAUGCAAACGCUCAAGCCUCAACACAGAUGUAGUAAAUAAGUAUUCGAACUUUUUAACAAGAUCCCCGGGUGAUUUCUAUUUGCAUUGAAGCUUGAGAAGUGCCGCUCUGAAGGGAAGGAAGAGCGUCUGAGGAGCUGUAAGAGGAUCGGAUGUCCCUGGGACUUAGAAAGAGGCGGUGGUAAUGGUAGAGAUGAGGCUGAGAGGAGCAGCGGCAGACCACCUCAGAUUCUUGUAGCCGUGUUAAGCAAAAAAGAAAUAUUCGAGGGCAAAUAAAUGAUUAUGCUUUUGCCCUGAAAUAGGAGCUGAAGAUGUCACAAUGAAUAGGAAGCGAUCUAUAGCCACAGGGAGCUCAAAAUCGCUUGGGGGAAAACUGAGACUCAAACAGGUGAUCAUGAUAGAUUGAUAAGCAUGAAGACUGAAGAAGGAGAGGAGGCUGUAGGAAUGGACAGGAGAUGGAGAACACAGAAUGCAGGGAGCGAGGGCAAUGCCUCGCGGAGGAAGGGAUGUCUGAGCUGAUCCUGAAGAAUGAGAUGGAGUCAGCUAGCUCAAGAAGAGGGCGGUGAACACAACCGACCCUAAGAGGCAUGUUCAACCUCCAGAACCAAAAAGGGUUAGAUAUCUAGAAUAUACAAAGAACUCCUGUAAAUUAUGAAGACAGGAAACCCAAUGAAAAAAUGCAAAAACCAAAACAAAACCCAUGAACAGAUGAUUCAGAUAUGGAGAAACCUGAAUUGCUCUAUGAUGUAGGAAGAGAUGCUCAAACUUUAAUAACUAAAGAAAUUCAACUUAAAGCAAUGAGAUGCCAGCUAUCCAUCAGCAUGGCAAAAUAUUAGAUGGGUGGCAAAUGCCAAGAACAUGGAGCCGGGUCUCUCCUUCCUUCCUGGUGGGUGUGUAAACUAGCAAACCAUUCAAAAAAUCUAUCUGGCUGGGUUUGGUGAACUUAGGCAUG